GUUGCUCGCACAGCCGGGCCCCUGCAGAAGUCUUCGAGUGAGAGAUCUGCAGUUCAGGUAAGGGGGUGGGGUGGGUUUUUGGUUAGGGCUGCAACUAACGAUUAUUUUAAUAAUCGAUUAGUUGGCCGAUUAUUUUUUCGAUUAAUCGAUUAAUCGGAUAAAAAAAAUUAAUGUAAAUUUUUCAUUUAUUUAAAAUAAUUUACUAAACAAAUGAUGUUAAAUACAAACA